rnacentral:rRNA from 1 species
UUCCCUUCGGGGNACAGAGUGACAGGUGUNGCAUGGUUGUCGUCAGCUCGUGUCGUGAGAUGUUGGGUUAAGUCCCGCAACGAGCGCAACCCUUGAUCUUAGUUGCCAGCAUUUAGUUGGGCACUCUAAGGUGACUGCCGGUGACAAACCGGAGGAAGGUGGGGAUGACGUCAAAUCAUCAUGCCCCUUAUGACCUGGGCUACACACGUGCUACAAUGGAUGGAACAAAGGGAAGCAAAACCGCGAGGUCAAGCAAAUCCCAUAAAACCAUUCUCAGUUCGGAUUGCAGGCUGCAACUCGCCUGCAUGAAGCCGGAAUCGCUAGUAAUCGCGGAUCAGCAUGCCGCGGUGAAUACGUUCCCGGGCCUUGUACACACCGCCCGUCACACCACGAGAGUUGGUAACACCCGAAGUCGGUGAGGUAACCUUUUGGAGCCAGCCNCCNAA